GCCCUUGUUGAUCCUGCCGGAGGCCACUGCUAUCGGGGUCCGACUAAGCCAUGCGAGUCAUGGGGCUCCCUUCGGGGAGCACCGGCGCACGGCUCAGUAACACGUGGCUAACCUACCCUCGGGUGGGGGAUAACCUCGGGAAACUGAGGCUAAUCCCCCAUAGGGGAGGAGGUCUGGAAUGAUCCCUCCCCGAAAGGCGUAAGCCGCCCGAGGAUGGGGCUGCGGCGGAUUAGGUAGUUGGUGGGGUAACGGCCCACCAAGCUACGAUCCGUACGGGCCCUGAGAGGGGGAGCCCGGAGAUGGACACUGAGACACGGGUCCAGGCCCUACGGGGCGCAGCAGGCGCGAAACCUCCGCAAUGCGCGAAAGCGCGACGGGGGGACCCCGAGUGCCCACGCUCUGCGUGGCUUUUCCGGAGUGUAAACAGCUCCGGGAAUAAGGGCUGGGCAAGUCCGGUGCCAGCAGCCGCGGUAAUACCGGCGGCCCAAGUGGUGGCCACUGUUAUUGGGCCUAAAGCGUCCGUAGCCGGCCCGGUAAGUCUCUGCUUAAAUCCUGCGGCUCAACCGCAGGGCUGGCAGAGAUACUGCCGGGCUUGGGACCGGGAGAGGCCGGGGGUACCCCAGGGGUAGCGGUGAAAUGCGUUGAUCCCU
rnacentral:rRNA from 1 species